rnacentral:misc_RNA from 1 species
GUGGGAGGGGGCUUGCUCCCGAUGGCGGAGUGUCAGUCGAUACAUGAUUGACUGAUCUACUGCCAUCGGGAGCAAGCCCCCUCCCAC